CGUGUAGGUGGUCUUUUAAGUCAGACGUGAAAUCUAUGGGCUUAACCCAUAAACUGCGUUUGAAACUGGAGGACUUGAGGACUGGAGAGGGCAGUGGAAUUCCCAGUGUAGCGGUGAAAUGCGUAGAUAUUGGGAGGAACACCAGUGGCGAAGGCGACUGCCUGGACGGCACCUGACACUGAGGCGCGAAAGCUAGGGGAGCAAACGGGAUUAGAUACCCCGGUAGUCCUAGCCGUAAACGAUGGGUACUAGGUGUGGGAGGUAUCGACCCCUUCCGUGCCGCAGUUAACACAAUAAGUACCCCGCCUGGGGAGUACGGCCGCAAGGUUGAA
rnacentral:rRNA from 1 species